AGACCCGAAACCCGGUGAUCUAGCCAUGGGCAGGUUGAAGGUUGGGUAACACUAACUGGAGGACCGAACCGACUAAUGUUGAAAAAUUAGCGGAUGACCUGUGGCUGGGGGUGAAAGGCCAAUCAAACCGGGAGAUAGCUGGUUCUCCCCGAAAGCUAUUUAGGUAGCGCCUCGUGAAUUCAUCUCCGGGGGUAGAGCACUGUUUCGGCUAGGGGGUCAUCCCGACUUACCAACCCGAUGCAAACUGCGAAUACCGGAGAAUGUUAUCACGGGAGACACACGGCGGGUGCUAACGUCCGUCGUGAAGAGGGAAACAACCCAGACCGCCAGCUAAGGUCCCAAAGUCAUGGUUAAGUGGGAAACGAUGUGGGAAGGCCCAGACAGCCAGGAUGUUGGCUUAGAAGCAGCCAUCAUUUAAAGAAAGCGUAAUAGCUCACUGGUCGAGUCGGCCUGCGCGGAAGAUGUAACGGG
rnacentral:rRNA from 1 species